GAGUUUGAUCCUGGCUCAGGAUGAACGCUAGCGGCAGGCUUAAUACAUGCAAGUCGAGGGGCAUCAGGGUGUAGCAAUACAUUGCUGGCGACCGGCGCACGGGUGCGUAACACGUAUGCAACCUACCUAUAUCAGGGGGAUAGCCCGGGGAAACUCGGAUUAAUACCGCAUAAUAUUAUUGAGAGGCAUCUUUUAAUAAUUAAAAUUCAGAUGGAUAUAGAUGGGCAUGCGUUCGAUUAGCUAGUUGGUGGUGUAACGGACCACCAAGGCAACGAUCGAUAGGGGUACUGAGAGGUUUAACCCCCACACUGGUACUGAGACACGGACCAGACUCCUACGGGAGGCAGCAGUAAGGAAUAUUGGGCAAUGGAGGCAACUCUGACCCAGCCAUGCCGCGUGCAGGAUGACUGCCCUAUGGGUUGUAAACUGCUUUUGUACGGGAGAAAACCCUCGUUUGCGAACGAGGCUGAUAGUACCGUAAGAAUAAGCAUCGGCUAACUCCGUGCCAGCAGCCGCGGUAAUACGGAGGAUGCAAGCGUUAUCCGGAUUCAUUGGGUUUAAAGGGUGCGUAGGCGGUCUUAUAAGUCAGUGGUGAAAGCCUGCAGCUUAACUGUAGAAUUGCCAUUGAUACUGUAGGACUAGAGUACAGACGACGUUGGCGGAAUAUGACAUGUAGCGGUGAAAUGCUUAGAUAUGUCAUAGAACACCGAUUGCGAAGGCAGCUGACGAGACUGUAACUGACGCUGAGGCACGAAAGUGUGGGGAUCAAACAGGAUUAGAUACCCUGGUAGUCCACACUGUAAACGAUGAUAACUUGCUGUUUGCGAUAUACAGUAAGCGGCAAAGCGAAAGCGAUAAGUUAUCCACCUGGGGAGUACGCCGGCAACGGUGAAACUCAAAGGAAUUGACGGGGGCCCGCACAAGCGGAGGAGCAUGUGGUUUAAUUCGAUGAUACGCGAGGAACCUUACCAGGGCUUGAAAGUUAAGGAAUGAUGUAGAAAUAUGUCAGUCAGCAAUGACCUAAAACUAGGUGCUGCAUGGCUGUCGUCAGCUCGUGCCGUGAGGUGUUGGGUUAAGUCCCGCAACGAGCGCAACCCCUACUAUUAGUUGCCAGCGGUUCGGCCGGGGACUCUAAUGGAACUGCCCGUGCAAACGGAGAGGAAGGUGGGGACGACGUCAAGUCAUCACGGCCCUUACGUCCUGGGCUACACACGUGCUACAAUGGCCAUUACAGAGGGCAGCCACACGGUGACGUGGAGCUAAUCCUUAAAAAUGGUCUCAGUUCGGAUUGAAGUCUGCAACUCGACUUCAUGAAGCUGGAUUCGCUAGUAAUCGCAUAUCAGCAAUGAUGCGGUGAAUACGUUCCCGGGCCUUGUACACACCGCCCGUCAAGCCAUGGAAGCUGGGGGGAUCUAAAGUCGGUAACCGAAAGGAGCCGCCUAGGAUAAAACUAGUAAC
rnacentral:rRNA from 1 species